rnacentral:snRNA from 1 species
AGCUUUCCACAGUGGCAGUAGAGUAGCCAAUGGGGUUUAUCUGAGGCAUGAUUAUUGCUAAUUGAAAACUUUUCCCAGUACCCCACCAUGAUGACUUGAAAUAUUUGGAUCUUGACGUACAA